CACACCGCCCGUCACACCAUGGGAGUUGAUUGCACCAGAAGUAGGUAGCCUAACCGCAAGGAGGGCGCUUACCACGGUGUGGUCAAGUGACGUGGGGUG
rnacentral:rRNA from 1 species